rnacentral:rRNA from 1 species
GACGAACGCUGGCGGCGUGCUUAACACAUGCAAGUCGAACGGAAAGGCCCCUUUGGGGGUACUCGAGUGGCGAACGGGUGAGUAACACGUGAGUAACCUGCCCUUGACUUCGGGAUAACUUCAGGAAACUGGGGCUAAUACCGGAUAGGAAUCCUUGCUGCAUGGUGGGGGUUGGAAAGCUUGGGCGGUUUUGGAUGGACUCGCGGCUUAUCAGCUUGUUGGUGGGGUAGUGGCUUACCAAGGCUUUGACGGGUAGCCGGACUGAGAGGGCGACCGGCCACAUUGGGACUGAGAUGCGGCCCAGACGCCUACGGGAGGCAGCAGGGGGGAAUAUUGCACAAGGGGCGGAAGCCUGAUGCAGCAACGCCGCGUGCGGGAUGACGGCCUUCGGGUUGUAAAACGCUUUCAGCAGGGGCGAAGCUUGUGGUGACGGUACCUGCAGAAGAAGCACCGGCUAACUACGUG